AAACAAAAGAAAACCAAAAUUUGAACUAAAACCCUAAUUCGACCCGUUGCUGCUUUUUGAUUUUUUUUUUUUUUUAAAAUUAUUCAGUUACAAUCAAUAAUAUAAAAUAAUAAAAAAAUUCAUGAAAGGAACGAAACGAUUCGCUGCGUCGGACUCGGCAUCGGACCCGAACGACACCGCCUUUCGGAAUAAAAGAAUACUGGCAGGAUCCGCAUUUGAUUCUCAUAGGGCUGAGCCAUCCCAACAGCCGUCAACGGAGACACCAGCAUUGGAUAUGCAACGGGCUGAGUCAUCCCGUCAGCACGUGAGAGCACUUAAUACCCAAUUUGCAAGUUGGGUGCAAUCUCAAUUAAAGAAUCACCCCGAGGAACUUUGGGAAGAUGGUGUUCGAGACUACUUGACUCAUGCAUCAAACAUUAUGGAGAAAUUCAGUGAUGUUGUCAACUGGCUCAAAGCAAAUGCUAUGAAAGGAGGAAAUUCCUCUUCUGCUGAUACUCAUACUUCUGAAAAAAAAUUGGCUCCUGAAAUUAAUAAUAAGGAGGUAAAAUCAUCUCAGGAUAAAACAUUUGCUCCAGCAACUAUGACUACAAGCUUUGGAAUAUUCUCAAGUGGUCAACCCAGUCUUUUCUUCGGAAAUCAAAGCUCAGUUUUCAUGAACCAUAAUGUUUCAAAUAAUGUUGACGACGAUGAAUUACCCCAGCCUAGCAGCCCAUCAGUGAAAAAGUCUGAAGAGAAAGGCAUUGUUGUAGUCCAUGAAGUCAAGUGCAAACUUUAUGUAAAGUCAAGUGAUCCUGCUGAUAAAGAUGCAUGGAAAGAUAAAGGCACUGGGCAGCUUUCCAUUAAAUGCAAGGAGGGUAUCAGCAAGGGUACAAAAGGGUCCAAACCAACUAUUCUUGUUCGAAAUGAUGUUGGAAAAGUGCUGCUUAAUGCAUUGUUAUAUCCGGGAAUCAAGACAAAUUUACAAAAGAAUUCCCUUGUUGCAAUAUUUCAUACUUCGAGUGACGACACUGGUAGUAAUGAUAAUGGUACCGUUGUGGCACGUACUUUCUUAAUCAGGACAAAAACAGAGGAGGAUCGAAAUAAGCUCGCAACAGCAAUCCAAGAAUAUGCCCCGUCUUCGUGAAAGUAAAUUAACAUAGACCUGGGAUUGCCGUUGAGCAUGCCUUCUCACAUCCCUCGACAACUUCAGCAGAACUUGGGCUGAAGAAAGUGAAGCUUGGCAUUGAUGGAAUUGGAGAUGAGAAGUCUGGUGUGCUCGAUUCACAGCAGCUGCUAAAGGAAAAUCCUCCAUAUCCAGAGCAAGGAGUACUGU